AAUGCGUAGAUAUGCGGGGAACACCGAUGCGAAGGCAAUCCCCUGGGCCUGCACUGACGCUCAUGCACGAAAGCGUGGGGAGCAAACAGGAUUAGAUACCUGGUAGUCCAUAACGAAGCUAACGCGUGAAGUUGACCGCCUGGGGAGUACGGCCGCAAGGUUGAAACUCAAAGAAUACACCCGCACAAGCGGUGGAUGAUGUGGUUUAAUUCGAUGCAACGCGAAAAACCUUACCCACCUUUGACAUGUACGGAACAGAGGUGCAGGUGCUGCAUGGCUGUCGUCAGCUCGUGUCGUGAGAUGUUGGGUUAAGUCCCGCAACGAGCGCAACCCUUGCCAUUAGUUGCUACGAAGGGCACUCUAAUGGGACUGCCGGUGACAAACCGGAGGAAGGUGGGGAUGACGUCAAGUCCUCAUGGCCCUUAUAGGUGGGGCUACACACGUCAUACAAUGGCUGGU
rnacentral:rRNA from 1 species